AUGGUUUUGCGCCAUGGCCAUGGUUCUAUCAUCUUUGCAGCCUAUCGAGUAAUCUUCAAUUGCAAUGAAGCGCUAGAGGCUAAAGUACAUACAUUAAUGCAAGGAAUGGCACUGGCCAUCCCACAUUCAGGUAUGCCGGUCUUGGUCCAAUCUGAUUCAUCGAUGGUGCUUUUAAUUCUGUCAAAUGAUGACCGCUCAUGAUAGGCGUACGUGCAUCUUGUUGCCGAGAUUAAAGCAUUGAUGGAGACUAGGGAGUUUGUUCCUGAGAAAGUACAAGGUGUUCAUAAUAGGAUAGUAGAUAAAUUGGCAGAUUAUAGCUGUACAAAAUUAGUUACCGUUGUAUGA
rnacentral:rRNA from 1 species